rnacentral:rRNA from 1 species
UAAGCAUAUCAAUAAGCGGAGGAAAAGAAACCAACAGGGAUUGCCCCAGUAACGGCGAGUGAAGCGGCAACAGCUCAAAUUUGAAAUCUGGCCACCCCCGCGGGAGGUCCGAGUUGUAAUUUGCAGAGGAUGCUUCUGGCGCGGCGCCUUCCGAGUUCCCUGGAACGGGACGCCACAGAGGGUGAGAGCCCCGUCCGGUCGGACGCCUAGCCUGUGUGAAGCACCUUCGACGAGUCGGGUAGUUUGGGAAUGCUGCCCUAAAUGGGAGGUAUAUGUCUUCUAAAGCUAAAUACCGGCCAGAGACCGAUAGCGCACAAGUAGAGUGAUCGAAAGAUGAAAAGCACUUUGAAAAGAGGGUUAAACAGUACGUGAAAUUGUUGAAAGGGAAGCGCUCAUGACCAGACUUGGGCCCGGGGGAUCACCCGGCGUUCUUUCGCCGGGGCACUUCGCCGGCUGCCCAGGCCAGCAUCAGUUCGCGGCGGGGGACAAAGGCUUCGGGAACGUAGCUCCCUACGGGGAGUGUUAUAGCCCGCUGCGCAAUGCCCUGCCGCGGACUGAGGUUCGCGCUUCCGCAAGGAUGCUGGCGUAAUGGUCAUCAGCGACCCGUCUUGAAACACGGACCAAGGAGUCGUCUUCGUAUGCGAGUGUUCGGGUGUCAAACCCCUACGCGGAAUGAAAGUGAACGCAGGUGAGAGCUUCGGCGCAUCACCGACCGAUCCUGAUGUUCUCGGAUGGAUUUGAGUAAGAGCAUACGGGGCCGGACCCGAAAGAAGGUGAACUAUGCCUGUAUAGGGUGAAGCCAGAGGAAACUCUGGUGGAGGCUCGCAGCGGUUCUGACGUGCAAAUCGAUCGUCAAAUAUGGGCAUGGGGGCGAAAGACUAAUCGAACCUUCUAGUAGCUGGUUUCCGCCGAAGUUUCCC